AGGGAAUCUUCCGCAAUGGACGAAAGUCUGACGGAGCAACGCCGCGUGAAGGAUGAAGGCCUUCGGGUUGUAAACUUCUUUGAUUGGGGAAGAAAUUUGACGGUACCCAAAGAACAAGCCACGGCUAACUACGUGCCAGCAGCCGCGGUAAUACGUAGGUGGCGAGCGUUGUCCGGAAUUACUGGGUGUAAAGGGCGUGUAGGCGGGGAUGCAAGUCAGAUGUGAAAUUCCGGGGCUCAACCCCGGCACUGCAUCUGAAACUGUGUCUCUUGAGUGCUGGAGAGGAAAGUGGAAUUCCUAGUGUAGCGGUGAAAUGCGUAGAGAUUAGGAGGAACACCAGUGGCGAAGGCGACUUUCUGGACAGUAACUGACGCUGAGGCGCGAGAGCGUGGGGAGCAAAC
rnacentral:rRNA from 1 species